rnacentral:rRNA from 1 species
AGACCCGAAACCCGGUGAUCUAGCCAUGGGCAGGUUGAAGGUUGGGUAACACUAACUGGAGGACCGAACCGACUAAUGUUGAAAAAUUAGCGGAUGACUUGUGGCUGGGGGUGAAAGGCCAAUCAAACCGGGAGAUAGCUGGUUCUCCCCGAAAGCUAUUUAGGUAGCGCCUCGUGAAUUCAUCUCCGGGGGUAGAGCACUGUUUCGGCAAGGGGGUCAUCCCGACUUACCAACCCGAUGCAAACUGCGAAUACCGGAGAAUGUUAUCACGGGAGACACACGGCGGGUGCUAACGUCCGUCGUGAAGAGGGAAACAACCCAGACCGCCAGCUAAGGUCCCAAAGUCAUGGUUAAGUGGGAAACGAUGUGGGAAGGCCCAGACAGCCAGGAUGUUGGCUUAGAAGCAGCCAUCAUUUAAAGAAAGCGUAAUAGCUCACUGGUCGAGUCGGCCUGCGCGGAAGAUGUAACGGGGCUAAACCAUGCACCGAAGCUGCGGCAGCGACACUGUGUGUUGUUGGGUAGGGGAGCGUUCUGUAAGCCUGUGAAGGUGUGCUGUGAGGCAUGCUGGAGGUAUCAGAAGUGCGAAUGCUGACAUAAGUAACGAUAAAGCGGGUGAAAAGCCCGCUCGCCGGAAGACCAAGGGUUCCUGUCCAACGUUAAUCGGGGCAGGGUGAGUCGACCCCUAAGGCGAGGCCGAAAGGCGUAGUCGAUGGGAAACAGGUUAAUAUUCCUGUACUUGGUGUUACUGCGAAGGGGGGACGGAGAAGGCUAUGUUGGCCGGGCGACGGUUGUCCCGGUUUAAGCGUGUAGGCUGGUUUUCCAGGCAAAUCCGGAAAAUCAAGGCUGAGGCGUGAUGACGAGGCACUACGGUGCUGAAGCAACAAAUGCCCUGCUUCCAGGAAAAGCCUCUAAGCAUCAGGUAACAUCAAAUCGUACCCCAAACCGACACAGGUGGUCAGGUAGAGAAUACCAAGGCGCUUGAGAGAACUCGGGUGAAGGAACUAGGCAAAAUGGUGC